UACGUAGGGGGCGAGCGUUAUCCGGAGUUACUGGGCGUAAAGCGCACGCAGGCGGUCGCGCAAGUUUGGAGUGACAGUUUCUGGCUUAACCAGACAAGGACUUCGAAAACUGUGCGACUUGAGGGCUUCAGAGGGACAUGGAACUCCGGGUGGAGUGGUGAAAUGCGUAGAGAUCCGGAAGAACACCAAUGGCGAAGGCAGUGUCCUGGGAAGCAUCUGACGCUCAGGUGCGAAAGCUAGGGGAGCGAACAGG
rnacentral:rRNA from 1 species